rnacentral:rRNA from 1 species
AUACGUAGGGGGCGAGCGUUGUCCGGAAUUACUGGGCGUAAAGGGUGCGUAGGUGGCCUUUUAAGUUGGAUGUGAAAUCCCCGAGCUUAACUUGGGUGGUGCAUCUAAUACUGGAGGGCUAGAGUGCAGGAGAGGGAAGCGGAAUUCCUAGUGUAGCGGUGAAAUGCGUAGAUAUUAGGAGGAACACCAGUGGCGAAGGCGGCUUACUGGACUGUAACUGACGUUGAGGCUCGAAAGCGUGGGGAGC